AGUGAACGCUGGCGGUAGGCCUAACACAUGCAAGUCGAACGGCAGCACAGUAAGAGCUUGCUCUUACGGGUGGCGAGUGGCGGACGGGUGAGGAAUACAUCGGAAUCUACUUUUUCGUGGGGGAUAACGUAGGGAAACUUACGCUAAUACCGCAUACGACCUACGGGUGAAAGCAGGGGAUCUUCGGACCUUGCGCGAUUGAUUGAGCCGAUGUCGGAUUAGCUAGUUGGCGGGGUAAAGGCCCACCAAGGCGACGAUCCGUAGCUGAUCUGAGAGGAUGAUCAGCCACACUGGAACUGAGACACGGUCCAGACUCCUACGGGAGGCAGCAGUGGGGAAUAUUGGACAAUGGGCGCAAGCCUGAUCGAGCCAUGCCGCGUGGGUGAAGAAGGCCUUCGGGUUGUAAAGCCCUUUUGUUGGGAAAGAAAAGCAGCAGGUGAAUACCCCGCUGUUCUGACGGUACCCAAAGAAUAAGCACCGGCUAACUUCGUG
rnacentral:rRNA from 1 species